CUGGCGGGAGAUUUGAAUGAGGGCGCGGGCGGGAAACUGUGGCGGCCGCUGGCGCUGCAGUAGGAGGCGAUGGGGAGCCUGGGUUCGCUUCCACGCCGCUUGCUGACGCCGGAGAGCGGCGAUUCGGGGGCUGACUCGGACCCGGCAGGGGAACCGGCUCUGCCUGGCCCGGGGCUCCCACCGGGGGCUGCCACGCAUGUGGCGGUGCCGCCAGCGAGAUACCCGGACCUCACCGGGAGUACGGGGGCGGCGGCCGCGCUGGUCCCGGCCGGGCAGCAGCCCCAGGCAGUCCCACUGCCGAGUCCCCCCAGGGAGCGGGGAGACCCGAGGAAGAGCUGCCGGUACCUGCGCGUUUCAGAGCUGUGUUCAAACAUCUGGAUCUGGAAAUGUCUAGCCUGUAUGGCUAUGGUUACAGUCAUCUUGGUUACAAUCGUAUUGGUUAAAAUCUCCCUGGAUCUCAGAGGUUCUGUUCACACACAUAGUGAGAGACAGUCCCUGCCCCAUAGACCUUACAAUCUACAUUGAGAAGACAAAGGGUUGGUGGGGACUCCCAGACACAAAGAGCCAUAGAACGUGUCCCUGCUGUGACUGGAAAGUGCAUACCCUGCCCAGGAAGCUGGAUGUGGUUCAGAGGGCAAUGUUACUAUUUUUCCAAAGAAACCCAGGACUGGGAUGCCAGUAAGGAGUUUUGCAGUUCUCAUAAUGCCACACUUGCUGUGAUAAAAGAACCAUCACAACUGGAGACUAUUAACUCUUUUAAAGGAAAUGAGGAUUACUGGCUUGGACUAAGCAAAGGAGGAGAGGGAUGGCAGUGGGUGGAUGGAUCUCCAUUUACUAAUACCAUAAUUCAGUUGGAAAAUGAUGCCCCAAACUUGAACUGUGCUUUCCUUAGCAUGAAGCAAGUUGCUACUGUAGACUGCACAUCUCUAAGAUACUGGAUCUGUAUCAAAGAGUCCAGAUGAGUUUUCUCAAUCAGCAAUGAAAGGUUUGUUUGAUGCAAGUUGCAAAUGAAAUUUGUCUUCUGUGCUGUGUUGGAAGCAUGUCCUCUGGAAUGGUGGCUGAAGCAUGAAGGGGCAUACAAAUGUUUAGCAUAUCUGGCACGUAAAUACCUUGCAAUGCGAGCUACAGAAGUACCUUGCAAACACCUGUUCUC